AACGCGAAGAACCUUACCAAGGUUUGACAUGGCCGGAAAACUCGCAGAGAUGCGGGGUCCUUCGGGGCCGGUCACAGGUGGUGCAUGGCUGUCGUCAGCUCGUGUCGUGAGAUGUUGGGUUAAGUCCCGCAACGAGCGCAACCCUCGUCCUAUGUUGCCAGCAGGUAAAGCUGGGGACUCAUGGGAGACUGCCGGGGUCAACUCGGAGGAAGGUGGGGAUGACGUCAAGUCAUCAUGCCCCUUAUGUCUUGGGCUGCAAACAUGCUACAAUGGCCGGUACAAAGCGCUGCGACAUCGUGAGAUGAAGCGAAUCGCAUAAAGCCGGUCUCAGUUCGGAUCGGGGUCUGCAACCCGGCCCCGUGAAGCCGGAGUCGCUAGUAAUCGCGGAUCAGCAACGCCGCGGUGAAUACGUUCCCGGGCCUUGUA
rnacentral:rRNA from 1 species